CUGGCGUAUUCCCCACCUUUGAGAUGGUUUGGAACGAUAGCGUUGAUUGGAAGAGAGGCGAGGGGCCGGGCGGGGCUUAGCGAACAGGGCACGCCCCCUCCAGCCAGGCAAAUAUAAUUGGCACGGCCCGGUGUCAAAAGUUGUCAACGUGCCUUGGGCCAAUCGAAAGCGGAUGCCCGGCGGGUGGGCGGGACUUAAAAACCGAAGGCAGGAGGCGGGAGUUUUAAUUUGUUGUCGAAGGUUUUCGUGGCCGGAAUCGCCCGGUGGCGCAGUCGGGUAAACCCUUGUACCGGCAGAACUGCUGACCUGAAGGUUGGGGUUGCUGACCUGAAGGUUGCCGGUUCGAAUCCAGCUCGAGGAGAAUGUGGAUGAGCUCCCUCUAUCAGCUCCAGCUCCAUGUGGGGACAUGAGAGAAGCCUCCCACAGGGAUGGUGAAAACAUCAAAACAUCCGGGCGUCCAUGCAGACGGGCAAUUCUCUCACACCAGAAGCGACUUGCAGAUUCUCAAGUUGCUCCUGACACGAAAAAAAAAAACCUGAGUUGCUGUGAGUUUUCCGGGCUGUAUGGCCAUGUUACAGAAGCAUUCUCUUCGGACCUAUCGCCCAGAUCUAUGGUUACCAAAUUACUGGAGCCCCCAUUGGCGCAGUGAGUUAAACCGCUGAGCUGCUGAACUUGCAGAAUGAAAGGACACCAUUUCGAAUUCGGGGAGCAGAGUGAGCUCCCGCUGUUAGCCCCAACUUCUGCCAACCUAGCAGUUUGAAAACAUGCAAAUGAUUCGGCUGCUCGCUAAAGGAGCAGGCUGAGAGUCCAGUGCCUGGUGCACCCCGCUACCUUGAAGACUAGAUCAACAUGCAAAUUUGGCUUGAAAGCAACAGGAUCAGAGGUAUAUUGCUUUCAAGUCUGAAAGAAUGUCUGACACUCAAAAGCAUGCAGUACAGUACACAUUUUAUUUUCUUUGACAGCUAUUCAAAGUCCCUGCACCCUCCCCUGAUUGGCCAGAAACCAGCCCAGUUUCAAUCUGGGCUCCUGUUGGCUGAGGAAUCCUCAUGACAUCAAAGGUGCAUAGAGUUUCCUGUUGUGACUCAGAAUGACUCUGAUGGGGAUUGUGGGGUUCAAGUUCCAGAUGUUUAAGAUGAUGGGAUUCAGGUUCAAGAUGACUCUGAUGGGAAUUAUGGGAUUCAGGUUCAGAGUGUUCCUGCUGUGAGAGAUGAGGAGCGGAGGCAUUCCCACGGCAGGGAAUGGUGUUGAUGAUACUGGAGAUGAUACUGAAGCUAGCCAGGUGCAAAAGGGAGGACAGCUCCCAGUUAGAGAGCAAGCAGACAGAGGCUGCUGCUAACAAGCUGUCUGGCCUUGAGGAAAUGGAAUCUCUGGAUCAAGCUGGCCGUUUGGAAUUUCGGGUUCGCAGGAGUGUUAGAAUAGCAAACAAGAAAGAGGUCAGAGGCCAAAGAAAUGCGUUCAUGCUAUGCAGGGAAUAUUAAAGGGUGUGCUGAGAGAGAAACCUUUGUCAAAAGCAAUGUCUCAUUUGAGUUAGAAGCAGCUCUUGCUCUCUUGGAUUAUCCUACAGCUUUGUGUAUUCAAGUUCAUGGGACUAUGUCAUGUAUUAAUAGAACCUUGUUUUAUGCCUAAUGUUUUCUUGGAUUAAUCUUUAUAGCCUUGGUUUUGCAACAACCUUUUGGAUCUUUACUUUUGCUUUUUAAGAACUAUUUAUUUCCUAUUUCCUAAUAAACUACAAAAAACUUCAA